UAACACCGCUACAACAUCGUUGCAACUGUGGAAACAGCGCCGUGACUCCGCCGUAACUUUGGUCAUGGAAACAUCGCUGUGUCUCCGCCACAACACCGCCGUGACACCGACGUGACACGGCUGUGACACCGCUGUAACACCGCUGCAACUAGUGCGACACUGCUGAAACACCACUGUGACUCCGCCGUGACUUCGCUGUAAACUACAAAAUGGAGAAGGUCGAGUAUUUUCCUUUCAUUCCACAUACGUCUGUGCCUGAGAGUGUGUGAUUUCACGUGUGCGGGAUGAUGUCGCCUUGCCCUGAAAUAAAAUUGUUACAAGGGGAGUUGGACCUUCUAGCAGAGGAGAUCGAGACAGAUCAUGUCUUAAUGGAACUGCGGGAAAAAAAAACUCAAGAAAGAAGCAAAAGAAAAGGUCGUACUGGACGAGGCAGUGGCUUUUGAGGCGAUAAGAUUUUGGCCAUUAUGAUAAUUUAAUCCAAGAACUCUCUCUCGAAGACACCCAAAGCUAUAAGAACUACCUGCGGAUGCCCAAAUAACUGUUUGACGAAGUGGUCUCAAGGAUUACGCAUAGGAUUGAGAAGAAGGACGCAUUCUGGAGAAAGGCACUUGAACCUGGGAUGCGCUUGCCAAUAACACUACGUUAUCUGGCUACAGGAGACAGCUACAAAAGCCUGUCGUAUGCUUUUAGAACGGCCCCUAACACAAUAAGCAAGAUCAUUUCAGAGACCUGUGAGGCAAUAAUCAGGGAGUACUUGGAAGAAGUAAUGCCAUGCCCUAAAAAUCCCGAGGAAUGGAAGAAGGUUGCCAUAGAGUUUUCAAGCCGGUGGGACUUUCACCACACCAUAGGUGCCCUGGAUGGCAAACAUGUGGCCAUAAGGUGUCCUCCUUCAGGCGGGUUUCUAUACUUCAACUAUAAGGGAUUCCACUCCAUUGUACUGUUGGGGUUGGUAGAUGCUGAUUAUAAAUUCCUGUACGUGGACGUCGGGGCUUAUGGUCAUUCAUCUGAUGGUGGUGGGUUUUUUUCUGACACGCAACUCUGUUAGGCUCUAGAAGCGAGCACAAUUGGCUUACCUGAUCCUGAACCCCUGCCAAACGACAACAAGCCAGUUCACUAUCAUUUGGUGGCCGAUGAUGCUUUCGCUCUCCGAACGUGGACGAUGAAGCCCUUUCAGCGCAGGCACAUGAGCCAAGAAGAACGUAUCUUCAACUACAGACUGUCCAGGGCAAAAGGGUAGUUGAAAAUGCCUUUGGAAUUAUGUCAAGCAGAUUCAGGUGUCUUCUUUCAACAAUCCCCUUACUUCCGAAGAACGUAGAGUCGGUGGUUAUGGCUGUUUGCUGCCUCCAUAACCUAUUACAAAUGAGAUACCCUACCGAACAUUCCAGGCAGAUUGACGUGGAAGACCCAGAAACACACGAAGUGAGACCAGGCCAAUGGAGAGAAGGGGAUAACCUUGUACCAGUGGAACCUCUCGUCAGGAACACUUCAACUGCGUCAGGAAAGACUAAGGGAAUACUUGAAGGAGUACUAUAACUCGCCUGCAGGUAGAGUCCAUUGGCAAGACAACAUGUCAUGAAGUGCAACUGUUGUACUGAGUUCUAAAGAUAAAUAAAUAUAAAGUUCUUUUAAUAUUUCAUAAAGUAAUUAGAGAGAAUGUGUGUGUAUUGCUACUCUUUAAUAAAGUAAGUUAUAUAAUA